AUAAAAAUCUUCUCGAGGUA
rnacentral:tRNA from 1 species